rnacentral:rRNA from 1 species
GACAGAGGUCCCGAGCGUUAGGCGGAAUCACUGGGCUUAAAGCGUGUGUAGGCGGCGGCCUAAGUACCUUGUGAAAUCCCACGGCUCACCCGUGGAACUGCUCGGUAUACUGGGUCGCUUGAGCCACUUAGGGGCUACCGGAACAAAUGGUGGAGCGGUGAAAUGCGUAGAUAUCAUUUGGAACGCCAAUGGUGAAAACAGGUAGCUGGGAGUGAUGCUGACGCUGAGACACGAAAGCCAGGGGAGCAAACGGG